GGACGGGUGGCGUUCGAAUAAGCAGCUAUCUCCGGCUUCCGUACACGGUGGAGACACUUCUCCGCCGCCGCCGUCUCUUCACCUCAUGCUCUGCCUCCUCUACCAAAGAGAAAGUUAUUGUCAUUUCCGGACCUACCGGUGCCGGAAAAAGCAAGCUAGCAUUAGAGCUCGCUAAGCGAAUCAAUGGCGAAAUCAUCAGUGCAGACUCUGUACAGGUGU
rnacentral:misc_RNA from 1 species